rnacentral:rRNA from 1 species
GACAGAGGGUGCAAGCGUUACUCGGAAUUACUGGGCGUAAAGCGUGCGUAGGUGGUUUGUUAAGUCUGAUGUGAAAGCCCUGGGCUCAACCUGGGAAUUGCAUUGGAUACUGGCAGGCUAGAGUGCGGUAGAGGGUAGUGGAAUUCCCGGUGUAGCAGUGAAGUGCGUAGAGAUCGGGAGGAACACCAGUGGCGAAGGCGACUACCUGGACCAGCACUGACACUGAGGCACGAAAGCGUGGGGAGCAAACAGG